rnacentral:rRNA from 1 species
AGGACGAACGCUGGCGGGGUGCAUGAGACAUGCAAGUCGAACGAGGUGCCAUUGAGCUUGCUUGAUGGUUACCUAGUGGCGGACGGCUGAGUAACGCGUAGGUGACCUGCCCAAAAAGUGGGGAAUAACUGCCCGAAAGGGUGGCUAAUACCGCAUGUGGUCGAUGGUUCAUUUCAUCGUCUAAAGGAGUAAUCCGUCUUUUGGAGGGGCCUGCGUCCGAUUAGCUAGUGGUGAGGUAAUGGCUCACCAAGGCGACGAUCGGUAGCUGGUCUGAGAGGAUGAUCAGCCAGACGUGGGGACUAGGACGAACCGGCCCAGUACCUCCGUAACGGGAGGCCAGGCGUAGGUCGGGUAAUUUUCG